rnacentral:rRNA from 1 species
GUAGGUGGCAAGCGUUGUCCGGAACUAUUGGGCGUAAAGCGCGCGCAGGCGGUUCUUUAAGUCUGAUGUGAAAGCCCACGGCUCAACCGUGGAGGGUCAUUGGAAACUGGAGAACUUGAGUACAGAAGAGGAAAGCGGAAUUCCACGUGUAGGGGUGAAAUGCGUAGAGAUGUGGAGGAACACCAGUGGCGAAGGCGGCUUUCUGGUCUGUAACUGACGCUGAGGCGCGAAAGCGUGGGGAGCAAACAGGGAUUAGAUACCCUGGUAGUCCACGCCGUAAACGAUGAGUGCUAAGUGUUAGGGGGUUUCCCGCCCCCUUAGUGCUGCAGCUAACGCAUUAAGCACUCCGCCUGGGGAGUACGGCCGCAAGGCUG